CCUACGGGAGGCAGCAGUGGGGAAUUUUGGACAAUGGACGCAAGUCUGAUCCAGCCAUGCCGCGUGCGGGAAGAAGGCCUUCGGGUUGUAAACCGCUUUUUGUCAGGGAAGAAAAGGUUCUGGUUAAUACCUGGGACCCAUGACGGUACCUGAAGAAUAAGCACCGGCUAACUACGUGCCAGCAGCCGCGGUAAUACGUAGGGUGCAAGCGUUAAUCGGAAUUACUGGGCGUAAAGCGUGCGCAGGCGGUUAUGCAAGACAGAUGUGAAAUCCCCGGGCUCAACCUGGGAACUGCAUUUGUGACUGCAUAGCUAGAGUACGGUAGAGGGGGAUGGAAUUCCGCGUGUAGCAGUGAAAUGCGUAGAUAUGCGGAGGAACACCGAUGGCGAAGGCAAUCCCCUGGACCUGUACUGACGCUCAUGCACGAAAGCGUGGGGAGCAAACAGGAUUAGAUACCCUGGUAGUCCACGCCCUAAACGAUGUCAACUGGUUGUUGGGAGGGUUUCUUCGUCAGUAACGAAGCUAACGCGUGAAGUUGACCGCCUGGGGAGUACGGCCGCGAAGGUUGAAACUUAAAGGAAUUGACGG
rnacentral:rRNA from 1 species